ACAAGUUCGAGUGAACUUCGAAGAUCAUUA
rnacentral:rRNA from 1 species